AUUAAAAUAAAAAUUUUUUUUAUUUUAUAAUUUUUUUAUUUAAAUUUAAUUUAAAUAUAAAUAUAAUUGUAUAAAUUUAUUUUUUAAAAAUUUAAUUUAUUUAUAAUUUUUGUAUUGAAAAAGAAAUUUUAUAUUUUUAAUAAAAAUAAAUUUAAUAUUUUUACCUUUUGUAUCAGGGUUAAUUAAAAUUUAUAAAUAUAUAUAUUUUUUUCUCGAAAUAAAUAGAUUUAUUUUAUUAUUUUUAUUAAUGUAAAAUUAUUAAAUGAAAUAGUAAAAUUUAGAAGAAAAAUUUUUUUCAUUAUUUAUAUAUCUAGUUAUUUUAUAAAUAAAUUUAAUUUAUUUUAUUUUAGUAUUUAUUUUUUAAUUUAUUAAUUUAAUAAAUUUAAAAUAAAAAAAAAUUUUUGGGAUUAGCUAAGAAUUUAUUUUAAUAUUAUUUUAAAAUUUAAUUUUUAAUAAUAAAAUUAAUAAUUUUUAUUUAUUUAUAGUAUAUAAUAAUUAAUAAUAAAUUAAAAUAUGAUUUUAAUAAAAAAAUUUAUUAUUUUAUAAAGUAAAAAUAAUUAAUAAUUUUUUAUUUUUUAUAAUGAUUAAAUUAGUAGAUAAUAUAAUAAUAUAAUAUUUUUUUUUUGUAAUUUUUUUUAAUGAAUUUGGCAAUAAUUGUUAUUCAACUGUUUAUUAAAAACAUUGUUUAUUGAAUAGUUAAUAGUAAAUAAUUUCUGCUCAAUGAUUUAUUUAAAUAGCUGCAAUUUUUGUACUAAGGUAGCAUAAUCAUUUGUCUUUUUAAUGAAGUCUAGAAUGAAAGAAAAUAUGAAAUAAAAACUUUAUAAAUUAAAAUUAAUCGAAUUUUAAAUUUAAGUUAAAAUUCUUAAAUUUUUAUAAAAGACGAGAAGACCCUAUAGAAUUUUAUAUUAAUAAAAUUUUAUUUAAUAAUAAAUUAAUUAAAAUUUUACAUAUAUUUAAUUGGGGAAAUUUUUAAAUUUAAUAAACUUUAAAAUUUAAUAUUUAUAAAUUUAUAUAUUAUAAAAAUUAUUAUUAUUAAUUUUAAAUUAAAUUACCUUAGGGAUAACAGCGUAAUAAUUUUGAGAUUUUCAAAAUUUAAAAAUUGAUUGCGACCUCGAUGUUGAAUUAAGAUAAAUUAUUAAUAAAGAAAUUAAUUAAUUAAGUCUGUUCGACUUUUAAAAUCUUACAUGAUUUGAGUUUAGAUCGGUGUGAGCCAGAUCGGAUUCUAUCUUUAUAAUUUGAAAAAUAAUUUUGUACGAAAGGACUUUUUAUUUUUAAUAAUUAAUUUUAAAUUUUAGAAUAAAAUUAAA
rnacentral:rRNA from 1 species